GACGAACGCUGGCGGCGUGCCUAAUACAUGCAAGUCGAACGCAGUGGGGACGGGUGAGUAACACGUGGGUAACCUCCCAUCAGAGGGGAUAACACUUGGCAACAGGUGCUAAACCGAUACUGAUGGAUGGACCCGUGGUGCAUUAGCUAGUUGGUGAGGUAACGGCGCACCAAGGCGACGAUGCAUAGCGUGCCUGAGAGGAGGAGCGGCCACACUGGGACUGAGACACGGCCCAGAAUCUUACGGUAGGCAGCAGUAGGGAAGAUUGGGCAAUGGACGAAAGUCUGACCGAGCAACGCCGCGUGAGUGAAGAAGGUUUGCGGAUCGUAAAACUCUGUUAUUAGAGAAGCGGUAUCUAACCAGAAAGCCACGGCUAACUACGUGCCAGCCGCCGCGGUAAUAC
rnacentral:rRNA from 1 species